UAAUACAUGCAAGUCGAGCGGACAGAAGGGAGCUUGCUCCCGGAUGUUAGCGGCGGACGGGUGAGUAACACGUGGGUAACCUGCCUGUAAGACUGGGAUAACUCCGGGAAACCUGAGAUAAUACCGGAUAGUUCCUUGAACUGCAUGGUUCAAAGACAAAGACGGUUUCGGCCUGUCACUUACAGAUGGACCCGCGGCGCAUUAGCUAGUUGGUGGGGUAAAGGGUCACCAAGGGGACGAUGCGUAGCCGACUUGAGAGGGUGAUCGGCCACACUGGGAAUGAGACCCGGCCCCGAAUCCUACGGGAGGCAGCCGUAGGGAAUUUUCCGCAAGGACGAAAGUCUGACGGAGCACCGCCGCGUGAUUGAGAAGGUUUUUGGAUCGGAAAGGUACGUUGUUAGGGAAGGACAAGUGCGAGAGUAAUUGUUCGC
rnacentral:rRNA from 1 species